ACAAGACCGAUUUCCCGGUUUAAUUGAAAACCCAUCAUUUAAGAUUAAACCAUAUAAAACCAAAAUAAACGGAUAAACCGGAAUAGAAAUACUGAAUCUUUUUUGCUUUUAAACCGGAUGCCUAGCCAACGCAUGCUAUCAUAGAGUCUUUCUCAAUUCUUACACAGCAUGCUGUCAGUCCCGUCCCGCCCCUCCUGUAAGGAAAAUGAAGCAUAUGCUUCAAGCCACAACAAUAGAUUCUAUUUACAGGGCCACAUAGGGUUAAUCAUUUGGUUACAUAUGUCUUCUUUGAUCAUGAUCUCUCUAAUCAAGCUUUUCUAUGAGUUAUUUUUCUCUGUUUUUGACACUUUUAAUCUAUCUCGUCUCUCUCUCCUUUUGUGUAACGUGUAUUUUAUUACAUCAUUUUAUUUCUUUUCAUGUAAAUCUUGUGGAAUCCAUUUUAGCUUUUUUCCAGAAGGCCACAUCUUGUUUGUGUGCUUUUUAAGCCACUUUAUAUUAAGGGCCGGCACUGCAUGCUAUAGAGAGAUAUGAUGAACCUGAGAGCUUUGAGGCUGAAGACUACAAAUGGAAAUGGAAAUGGUAAUGACAUCAUUGUUACACAGCUUUAUUUAUUUUCUUUAAUUAUUAACGAACCCUUUUAAUAAGAAUUAUCAACAUAACAUGUGACUGGUAUCUAAAAACCUUGAUUAUUGUUAUACUAUGCCGCAUUUUUUCCUUUGCUUUUCGUUGUUGGGAUCCAUUUCUGCAUAUACUCUAACAUGGAGUGUGGUCACUAGUUAUGUUUUGGUUAACUUUAUUCAAAACAACUUUACAUCCAUCUCUUUAUCACAUCUGCGUAAUGAACCUGUCUAAAGUCUCUUUACUUAGAGCAGGCGCAUUAGAGGAUGUAAUGGGGUUCAUGGGCUCAAGUUCCUAGGCCAGAAUUGAUUUAAAAAAAUAAAAAAUGAUUUUAAUUCAUUGAACCGAUCCUUAGUAGUGAACUUGUAUGAAGCGGUUCAGACCACGUGUCAAUCAGUCACUGUCUUUUCUUUCCUUCUCCACAUCUUCUCCUCGUCUCUUACAGAAGCUGGAGUUCGGUAAUAAGUCUAGCUUUAGCUUCCUCCACUCUCUCUCCAUCUCCUUCCAUUGUUCGUCCUCUUCUCUCCUCUUUCCUCAUUUCAUCAGAUUCAAUUCUUUUUCCUUUCAUCUCAAUUCUUCUCUGUUUUUUAUUUCUCUUUUGUAACAAUCAGAGGAGAAUGGUGGUGGUCUGAUAAAUUGGACCUUAUUCCUUGUGUAUGUUUACUGAAAUCAAUAUAUCUUGCGAUUAUAGAGCUCUAAUCUCCAUUUUUUUCUUAUGAGGUUAUGUUUUGAUGAUAGAGACAUUUUUUUUUACUUACAAUGAGUACACCAAGAAACGGCUUUUCCAAGCAUCAGAGAGCUGAGAAAGUCUGUGGUCAGAGAGGGCCUAAUUGGAUCCUAAUCGCAGGUGGAGCCUUGUUGAGCACUCUGUCCAUUCGCUUUGGCUACAAGCUUAAGCAGUCGCCUCUUUUCAAACCUCCUCAUCAGUCUAAUGCCUCUCCUGGAUUUAAAGCCAAUGGAACAUCUGAGAGGCAAAGAUGUUGUUGUUUGCACUCCUCCACCACGUCUUCCUGUGCAAAGAAUAAUGGUUAUUCCUGCUUCCGCUCCGUUCCAGGUCUUUACAGGUCACAGGAACACUGUUUUUUCCCUAUGUUUCAGACACAGAACUGCAGAGCUCUACUCUGGUUCAUUUGAUCGAAGUGUCAAGGCGUGCACUUACGGUUGGGAGAGAUAGAAUCAUGCAACUACACAAGUUUGUGUAUUGUGUUACAGGAAGGUAGACAAGGCAGAGAAGCUUGAUGGAGGAGAAGGUGGCAAAAGGAGUGAGUCAUUAGUGGCGAGGACAUUAGGUGUUUAGAGUGGAGAAGGUCCAAGCUCCGGUAUGUGACUAGAAGACGGUGACGUUGGAGAUAGAACUUUGACUUUAGAAUUUUAGGUGUAGGUUUAAUUGUUUUUUAAAAAAUUAGUUAAGUUUGAUAUACCUGUCAUAACUAUGUAACCAAUUUCAAUAUAUAAAAAAUUUAAUAUAAAUUUGUAUUUUUAUAUUUUAUAUUUUUUUUUAAUUUUUAAUUUUUAAUAAUGCCAAUUAUUGUAUGAAUAAUCUUUGUAUGUUUUUGAAUUCUCAAUGUAUUGAAUAAAAUUUUAAUGUCAUUUUUGUGUUAUCUAUUCUUAAUGUAUUGAAUAAUUUUUUAAAAAAAUUAUAAAAGAUUAUUAUAUUUUAUUCAUGUAUUGUUAAUUAAUUGAAAGUUUAAAAAAAUAUAAAUAAUAAUGUUUUAUUUCUAUGAACUCCUUCUUGAGAUUCACUAAUGCAAGAACACAAUAAAUAGAGGUUCAACACUAUUUAUGGUUCCACCAAAAAAUAUUAAAAAAUUCUUAUGAACCCUAAGAGGGGGUUCACUAAUUCUGAUGCUCUUAUGGUUUUCCUUUUUUCCAUGUAAGGGACCAUAUACACGUUUCUAUUUUCUGGUGUCCAAUUCAAAUACUUUGAGUUUAGUAAUUAUUGUGUUUGUUUUUAACAUAUCAGUUUAACAGAGUAUGUGGUUUUGCUUGCAAGAAACUGGUUUUGUAUCCAAAGUAAACAAGAGCAAGUAUAUGAUGUCUCUGUUUACUUGGCUCUGGCGCACUCUAGCUCAUUAGGACCAGGGUGGGACCGUGGGAGCACAAGACCCAUGUAUGCUAAGGUUUCGGCAAGAUAAUAGACAACUUUGUCUACCUAUUUCAACCACAUUUUUCUCUAUAUGAAAUAUCAAAUCGUUUGGUUCUUGCACAAUCUCAAACUGUAUUCCUUCUUGCUUUUUUUCUUUUUUGCAUUUAAAUAGAGCUUUAUGAGCUAUUUUCCUUUUCAAUAAAGCUCUUAUUAGCUCAAUCUAUCUUGCUAGGCAUUUACUCACAGUUUGCACUAUACCCGUCUAUACUUGCUGGAUCAAAACAUAAAUAGUUAUUCUCAUCUCCAAAUUUUCAGCCAAAGUCAAACUUGGUGUUAUCUGUCUUUGAUUCACGCAAAUUGCAUUCCAAGUGUAUGUAAGACUCCUCAAAAAAAAAAUUGCAAAAGCCAAAAUCUUUGACAAUUGAUACUGUAAACAAAGGAUAGUAGUAUUGAAUAUAUUCUUUAACAAAAUUAUCUGCUCAAUACAAACAAGAAAUACAAAAUAUGAUUUUCAACUUUUCUCACCACAACAAUAACGUAAUAGUAAUAAGACUAAUAAUAUAUAUUCCCAGUUUCUCAGAUUUUUUUUCUUGCAAGAAAAAUAAUAAACACAACUCAAGAGUUGAACUAUAUGAAACCAAAAAUACAGAGAAGGAGACUGAAUCCGGAGAGACGUGAAACAUAAA